rnacentral:rRNA from 1 species
AUUGAACGCUGGCGGCAGGCCUAACACAUGCAAGUCGAGCGGAUGAAGGGUGCUUGCUCCUGGUUUCCGCGUCGGACGCGGGAGUAAUGCCUAGGAAUCUGCCUCGCUGUGCUUGAUAAUGUCCGCAAACGGGCGCUAAUACUGCCUACUUCCUGCUGCAGCAGCUGGGUGAGCUUCGGACCUCUCGCUCUCAGAUGAGCCUAGGUCGGACUGGCUAGUUGGUGGGGUAAAGGCCUACUAAGGCGACCAUUCGUAACUGGUCUGAGAGGAUGAUCAGCCACACUGGAGCGGAGACACGGUCCAGACUCCUACGGGAGGCAGCAGUGGGGAAUAUUGGACAAUGGGCGAAAGCCUGAUCCAGCCAUGCCGCGUGUGUGAAGAAGGUCUUCGGAUUGUAAAGCACGUUAAGUGGGGAGGAAGGGCAGUAAGUUAAUACCUAGCUGUUUUGACGUUACCAACAGAAUAAGCACCGGCUAACUUCGUG